rnacentral:rRNA from 1 species
AGAGUUUGAUCCUGGCUCAGGAUGAACGCUAGCGGCAGGCUUGACACAUGCAAGUCGAGGGGCAGCGGGAGACUUCGGUUUCGCCGGCGACCGGCGCACGGGUGCGUAACGCGUAUGCAACUUACCCGAUACAAGGGGAUAGCCCGAAGAAAUUCGGAUUAAUACUCUAUAAUAUUUCAAUAAGGCCUCUUAUUGAUUUUAAAGCUCUGGCGGUAUCGGAUAGGCAUGCGUAACAUUAGUUAGUUGGUAAGGUAACGGCUCACCAAGACUAUGAUGUUUAGGGGGUCUUAAAGGAUGAUCCCCCACACUGGUACUGAGACACGGACCAGACUCCUACGGGAGGCAGCAGUGAGGAAUAUUGGUCAAUGGACGCAAGUCUGAACCAGCCAUGCCGCGUGCAGGAUGACAGCCCUAUGGGUCGUAAACUGCUUUUAUACGAGAAGAAACCCUCUUACGUGUAAGGGGCUGACGGUAUCGUAUGAAUAAGCAUCGGCUAACUCCGUGCCAGCAGCCGCGGUAAUACGGAGGAUGCAAGCGUUAUCCGGAUUUAUUAGGUUUAAAGGGUGCGCAGGCGGGAAAUUAAGUCAGAGGUGAAAUCCCACAGCUUAACUGUGGAACUGCCUUUGAUACUGGUUUUCUUGAGUGCGGUUGAGGCAGGCGGAAUGCGUAGUGUAGCGGUGAAAUGCUUAGAUAUUACGCAGAACUCCGAUUGCGAAGGCAGCUUGCUAAACCGUAACUGACGCUGAGGCACGAAAGCGUGGGGAGCGAACAGGAUUAGAUACCCUGGUAGUCCACGCCGUGAACGAUGAUUACUCGUUGUGUGCGAUGUACCGUACGCGACUGAGCGAAAGCAUUAAGUAAUCCACCUGGGGAGUACGUCGGCAACGAUGAAACUCAAAGGAAUUGACGGGGGCCCGCACAAGCGGAGGAACAUGUGGUUUAAUUCGAUGAUACGCGAGGAACCUUACCCGGGCUUAAAUGCAGAACGAUCGGUGCCGAAAGGUACUUUCUCUUCGGAGCGAUUUGCAAGGUGCUGCAUGGUUGUCGUCAGCUCGUGCCGUGAGGUGUCGGGUUAAGUCCCAUAACGAGCGCAACCCCUGUUGUCUGUUGCCAGCGCGUAAAGGCGGGGACUCAGGCAAGACUGCCGCCGUAAGGUGAGAGGAAGGCGGGGAUGACGUCAAAUCAGCACGGCCCUUAUGUCCGGGGCUACACACGUGUUACAAUGGUCGGUACAAAGGGCAGCUACGCCGCGAGGCGAUGCUAAUCUCAAAAACCGAUCUCAGUUCGGAUCGGAGUCUGGAACUCGACUCCGUGAAGUUGGAUUCGCUAGUAAUCGUAUAUCAGCAAUGAUACGGUGAAUACGUUCCCGGGCCUUGUACACACCGCCCGUCAAGCCAUGGAAGCCGGGAGUGCCUGAAGUCCGUAACCGCAAGGAUCGGCCUAGGGUAAGACCGGUGACUGGGGCUAAGUCGAAACAAGGUA